AGAGUUUGAUUCUGGCUCAGGAUUAACGCUGGCGGCGUGCCUAAUACAUGCAAGUCGAAUGGUAGCAAUACCAUGGCGAACGGGUGAGUAACACGUAGGUAACCUGUCUUUAAGCCGAGGAUAACCAUUGGAAACGAUGGAUAAUACUGGAUAGGACAUUUGAAGGCAUCUUUAGAUGUUUAAAGAUUUAUCACUUAGAGAGGGGCCUGCGGCGCAUUAGCUAGUUGGUGAGGUGAAGGCUUACCAAGGCGAUGAUGCGUAGCCGGACUGAGAGGUUGAACGGCCACAAUGGAACUGAGAACGGUCCAUACUCCUACGGGAGGCAGCAGUAGGGAAUUUUCGGCAAUGGGCGGAAGCCUGACCGAGCAACGCCGCGUGAACGAAGAAGUAUUUCGGUAUGUAAAGUUCUUUUAUUAGGGACGAAAAGACAGAUUGACGGUACCUAAUGAAUAAGCUCCGGCUAACUACGUGCCAGCCGCCGC
rnacentral:rRNA from 1 species